rnacentral:misc_RNA from 1 species
GUGAAUCAUCAAAUCUUUGAACGCAAAUUGCACUUUCUGGUAUUCCGGAGAGUAUGCCUGUUUGAGGGUAAGUUAAAUAAAAAUCGGAGUUGUUGUUGUUUUUCGUGGUGACGCGUCGGUCUUGAGUUGUCUUACUAUCGGUUAAGUGACUUACAAUUUUGAUUGUUUUUGGAACGUAUUAUAAUUUUUUAUGUACGUUUGAUAUUUA